rnacentral:rRNA from 1 species
AGACCACUCCUACGGGAGGCAGCAGUGGGGAAUAUUGCACAAUGGGCGCAAGCCUGAUGCAGCCAUGCCGCGUGUAUGAAGAAGGUCCUUCGGGUUGUAAAGUACUUUCAGCAGUGAGGAAGGUGGGUAUGUUAAUAGCAUACUCAUUUGACGUUAGCUGCAGAAGAAGCACCGGCUAACUCCGUGCCAGCAGCCGCGGUAAUACGGAGGGUGCGAGCGUUAAUCGGAAUUACUGGGCGUAAAGCGCAUGCAGGUGGUUUGUUAAGUCAGAUGUGAAAGCCCGGGGCUCAACCUCGGAAUUGCAUUUGAAAACUGGCAAACUAGAGUACUGUAGAGGGGGGUAGAAUUUCAGGUGUAGCGGUGAAAUGCGUAGAGAUCUGAAGGAAUACCGGUGGCGAAGGCGGCCCCCCUGGACAGAUACUGACACUCAGAUGCGAAAGCGUGGGGAGCAAACAGGAUUAGAUACCCCUGGUAA